GCUGGGAAUGGUGCUGCAUGCCUGUAAUCCCAGCAGUUUGGGAGAUUGGGGCAGGAGGAUUGCUGGUUUGAGGCUAGCCUCAUCAACUUAGCAAGAGCCUGUCUCAA
rnacentral:sRNA from 1 species